AAACACAGACAUCUCACCCUGCAGCUCAAGACCGCUUACUCACUGAAGCUACGCAGGGCUGAGCCUGGUCAGUACCUGGAUGGGAGACCACAUGGGAAAACUAGGUUGCUGUUGGAA
rfam:Danio rerio chromosome 1, GRCz11 reference primary assembly.